ensembl:lncRNA
GUCUUACNNNNNNNNNNNNNNNNNNNNNNNNNNNNNNNNNNNNNNNNNNNNNNNNNNNNNNNNNNNNNNNNNNNNNNNNNNNNNNNNNNNNNNNNNNNNNNNNNNNUUCAUUUUAUUUUGGCUCCACUGAGUCUUACUAGCUGUGUGUGGGCUUUCUCUAGGUGCAGCAAGUGGGGCUGCUCUAGCUGUGUUGCACGGGCCUCCCAUUGCAAUCAAUGGCUUCUCUUGUUGCAGAGCCCGGGCUCUAGGCGUGCGGGCUCAGUUGUGGCACCCUGGCUUAGUUGCCCAGCAGCACGUGGGAUCUUAGUUCCCCGGCCAGGAAUCAAACACAUGUCCCUUGCAUGGCAAAAUGAAUUCUUAGCCACUGGACCGCCAGGGAAGUCCCUAUACUCAUUCUUUACACUCUGUCAUUAAGUUCUUUAUCAGGUAGCCCUUCCGUUGAAAACAAUAUUAACCUGUUCCUCUUAUAUACCAUACUCGAUAAAUGCUGACUCUUGAGGGGUUAAGUGCAAAAUUGUACCCUCUGGCUAAAGAGGCUUCUCUAACUAGACUCAUCAAGGAAAAGACUCCUGAUUAUUUCAAUUCUGUGUCCUCAGAAGCUGGCUUAGCGUCCAGCAGGCUGUAGGUGUUCCGUUAGUCUUUGUUAAAUUGAGCAAAAAUGAUACCACAAAGAUGAAAAACAACUUAGAUCCCAACACUGUGGAUGACAGUUCUGAUGUUUAAGAAAUCCUCACCAGGUUUAAUGUUUAACUUAGUGUACUGGAUAUUGAGUUUUACUGGUAAUAUAUUUAAGAUGAUUAAUUUUGUAUUUUUAAAUGUCUUUAACGAGGAAAAUUACUGAACCUUUGAAGUAGCACAGAAAAUGUUUUAUGAACUCAUUUAGGAUCUAUGUAGACUGUAAAUAUUAUUAAGAAUUCUUAGAAAUAAAAGUUACUCAGUGUUUGGUAUUAUAUCUGGUGUGAUUAAAACAAAUAUGAUAAAUAGAUUAGGAAUCAGAAACCCUAAAGAUCAGAAUAAAUAAAUAAUAAGAAAAUCUUUUAUACUUAUUUGUAAAUGAUAAGACCAUGACUUAUUUGAUCUUUGAUAUUAAAGUGUCCUUUAUUCAUAAUUCCUGAUAAAUAAGAUAUGUGGGUUUGUGAUAUGCAAUUGUCAGUAUGUUACAAGCCAAAAGGAAAAGAGGUAAAAAAUGUCCAAGUUCUGAAGGGAAAAAAUGUGGAUAAAACAAAUAAUAUCUAAGAAUUAGCUCUUCACAUUAGGAAAAUCAAUAGCCUUCUCUCUUAACCGAAUAUCUUAGGUAGAAAAAUCCAAAAAAUUAAACAUAAGUGAGCGAUUACUUAUUUUUUCAUAGCCUUGAUAAUAUUUCUUAACCUUGAUAAUAGAUUCAUAGUCUUUUAUCAUGGUAAUCUUAAUGCUUUUGUAUGUCUGAAAUGUUGCAUAAUAAAAAUGUUUUAAGUAAAAGAUGAACUUUUCAAGAAGAAUUUGAUGCUAUCUUCCUAAAUGAUAAACUAUCAAAUGCUCAUUCCCCACGGAAGUCUCUUAAAGUAAAAACUUUGAAUCUGUUUUAUGGAAAGACUUUGACUUACCACAAAUCAUUAAAUAACCUUCGUAUAAUAGUUUUCCUGGUCAUUUUCAUAUGGACCAAGUAUUCACACUGGUCCCAGUAAAUACUUGUUUCCUCCAUACUUUUGGAACUUGAUAUUACAUACAAGGUUUGGUAACAGUGUUCCUCAGUAAGAAUGACAAAAGAACUUUGCAUUAAUAAAGAGAAUUUAUAGCCAUAGUCAAAUUUAGAGGGAAUAAACUCCUUAUUUUUCUUAUACUGAAAGUCUUUCCAUAUCCAUGUGUCAAAUGUGUGUAAUUUAAUAAAAUCUCCUACUUUGGGGGAAAAAUAUAAUGCUUUGCAGUGUCAUUUGCAUACAAAAGCCUGCCAAAACUUUUCAGUUAAAAUAUUCAGCUUAAAACUUUAAAAAGAAAUGUAUUCUAUUCCCAUUCUUCUGGUGUUAC